AUAUCAAUAAGCGGAGGAAAAGAAACCAACAGGGAUUGCCCCAGUAACGGCGAGUGAAGCGGCAAGAGCUCAAAUUUGAAAUCUGGCCUCCCCCGGGGGCCCGAGUUGUAAUUUGUAGAGGAUGCUUCGGGUGCGGCCGCCGUCUAAGUUCCUUGGAACAGGACGUCAGAGAGGGUGAGAAUCCCGUCUUGGGCGGGCGGUCCGCGCCCGUGUGAAGCUCCUUCGACGAGUCGAGUUGUUUGGGAAUGCAGCUCUAAGCGGGUGGUAAAUUUCAUCUAAAGCUAAAUAUUGGCCGGAGACCGAUAGCGCACAAGUAGAGUGAUCGAAAGGUUAAAAGCACCUUGAAAAGGGAGUUAAACAGCACGUGAAAUUGUUGAAAGGGAAGCGCUUGCGGCCAGACUCGGGGGCGGGGUUCAGCGGGUGCUCGUCGCCCGUGUACUCCUCGUCUCCCGGGCCAGCAUCAGUUUCGACGGCCGGUCAAAGGCCCCCGGAAUGUGUCGUCUCUCGGGACGUCUUAUAGCCGGGGGUGCAAUGCGGCCCGUCGGGACUGAGGAACGCGCUCCGGCUCGGAUGCUGGCGUAAUGGCCGUAAGCGGC
rnacentral:rRNA from 1 species